rnacentral:rRNA from 1 species
UACGUAGGGGGCGAGCGUUGUCCGGAUUCAUUGGGCGUAAAGAGCUCGUAGGCGGUUUGGCAAGUCGGGUGUGAAAUCUCCGGGCUCAACUCGGAGAGGCCACUCGAUACUGCUAUGACUAGAGUCCGGUAGGGGACUAUGGAAUUCCAGGUGUAGCGGUGAAAUGCGUAGAUAUCUGGAGGAACACCGGUGGCGAAGGCGGCAUCCUGGACCAAUUCUGACGCUGAGGAGCGAAAGCCAGGGGAGCAAACGGG